rnacentral:rRNA from 1 species
GACGAACGCUGGCGGCGUGCUUAACACAUGCAAGUCGAACGGAAAGGCCCUGCUUUUGUGGGGUGCUCGAGUGGCGAACGGGUGAGUAACACGUGAGUAACCUGCCCUUGACUUUGGGAUAACUUCAGGAAACUGGGGCUAAUACCGGAUAGGAGCUCCUGCUGCAUGGUGGGGGUUGGAAAGUUUCGGCGGUUGGGGAUGGACUCGCGGCUUAUCAGCUUGUUGGUGGGGUAGUGGCUUACAAAGGCUUUGACGGGUAGCCGGCCUGAGAGGGUGACCGGCCACAUUGGGACUGCGAUACGGCCCAGACUCCUACGGGAGGCAGCAGGGGGGAAUAUUGCACAAUGGGCGGAAGCCUGAUGCAGCAACGCCGCGUGCGGGAUGACGGCCUUCGGGUUGUAAACCGCUUUCGCCUGUGACGAAGCGUGAGUGACGGUAAUGGGUAAAGAAGCACCGGCUAACUACGUG